GAUGAAGAACGCAGCGAAAUGCGAUACGUAAUGUGAAUUGCAGAAUUCAGUGAAUCAUCGAAUCUUUGAACGCAUAUUGCGCUCUCUGGUAUUCCGGAGAGCAUGCUUGUUUGAGUAUCAGUAAACACCUCAACUCCCUUUUCUUUUUUGAAAUUGGAGCUGGACUUGAGUGAUCCCAACGCUUUCUUCCAAGAAAGUGGCGGGUUGCUUGAAAUGCAGGUGCAGCUGAACUUUUCUCUGAGCUAUAAGCAUAUCUAUUUAGUCUGCCUAAAAAACAGAUUAUUUCCUUUGCUGCAGCUAACAUAAAGGAGACUAGUUCUUGUGCUGACUGAUGCAGGAUUCACAGAGACAGCUUCGGCUGACUUUGUAAACUCGAUCUCAAAUCAAGUAAGACUACCCGCUGAACUUAAGCAUAUCAAUAAGCGGAGGA
rnacentral:misc_RNA from 1 species